AUGUGGUGCUGCCGGCGCGUGGGGCAGGAGCUGCUGAGGCCCCUCCGCGCGCGGCUCCUGCUGUCGCCUGGCUGGGGGUCACGCGCUGGGGCCGCCGCCGCCGCCGCCGCCUCCCUGCCCGGCGCGAGCCCGGGCGGUUUGUACGAGGCGCUGGCGGAGUCGGCCGCCGUGCACUGGGCGGAGAGCGGGCUGGUGGCGCUGCAGGCGGGCACCGGCCUGCCCUGGUGGCUCAGUAUCGCGUGCGCCGGCGCCGCCCUGCGCACCGGCCUCACCCUGCCGCUGGCCGCGCACCAGGGCCACAUCCUGGCCAAGCUGGAAAAUUUGCAGCCUGAAAUAGAAAACCUAGCUAAGCGUCUUCGCUAUGAAGUUUCAAUUCGUGGGAAGCAACUGGGUUGGUCUGAAAAAGUUGCUAGGUUCCAUUUCAGGAAGAAUCUAGGAAGGAUUGUUUCAGAGUUGUAUGUUCGAGACAACUGCCACCCCUUCAAGGCCAGUCUGUUGAUGUGGAUACAGAUUCCAGUGUGGGUGUUUGUUUCCAUAGCUUUGCGUAACUGCAGCGUAGGUGCAGCAGACUCAGAAGUCCUUGCCGUUCAGGAACAGCUGUCGACAGGUGGAACCCUGUGGUUUACAGAUCUUACUGUACCAGAUACAACAUGGAUUUUGCCAGUCUCACUUGGGCUUCUCAAUUUGCUGAUAGUGGAGAUCUUUGCUCUGCGAAAACUUGAACUGUCCAGGUUCCAGAAGUACGCUACCAACUUCAUUCGAGGGCUGUCAAUACUGAUGAUUCCUAUUGCUGCAACUGUACCUUCAUCCAUGGCUUUGUACUGGUUAUCCUCCAGCUUCAUGGGACUCUCACACAACCUGCUACUGCGCUCUCCAACUUUUCGUCGACUCUGCCACAUACCGAGGACCAAGUCUGACUCAGACACUCCGUAUAGGGAUAUAGUCUCUGCCUUUUAUGCUAAGUACUUUUUUAAAAAGUGAUUCAUUUUGCACUGGUGGAAGAACUACCCUAUACAGGCAACUUGAGUAAUUCAGAAGUCAUAUUGUUUUGAAAUGUACCUAUUUAAUAUAGGGGCAAGUCUAUGCUACCACAGUACAUCAGCGCAGUUGCACUGAUGCAGCUAUAUUGCUGUAGCGCACCUGGUGAAGAAACUCUUUGCCGACGGGAAAGCGUCUCCCGCCAACAUAGCGCAGUGUGGACACUGCUUUAAGUCAAUGUAACUUAUGUCACUCAGGGGGUGGCUUUUUCACACCCCUGAGUGACGUAAGAGACAUCAACUUAAGCAGUAGUGUAGACAAGCCCUGGGUGUCUCCUUGAAACAGUUAGAAUGUGAAAGGCUGGUGUUGAAAUUUUUUUUCCUAAUAAAACAAUGGUUGUCUCUGACAUAAAGAAGGGUAAUUGUACUAACUUCUUGGCGCAGUGCAAAAUUGUUGGGAUUUUUUUAGUUCAUGUGGUGUUUUUGUAAGUUGUGUCCAAUUAAUAGCAGCUUCUUUCCUUUAUUAGUAAUACAGGAUGAAGAUAGAUGUUAAAAUUGUGGCUGAUGUAGCUCUGCUAUUUACACUGAGUCUGAUCUUAACUGCAGGCUAGUGAACAACAACAUGUAGCUUUACUUGAAGACUGAAUGGGUCACUGGGUUGGUAAUGGUUUGCUAGAUCUCUUCUCUCAGACACUUGUUCUGGUUCAGGUUCUCAGAUUCAGUAGUUGACCACAUGUUGUCAAUCUCUUGGCCCAUGGGAAAGUUCUACUGACAACUGAGAUGGUGUUUUUGUGAAACUACAAAGGUGGAUUAAUUGCCCACUCGUUUGCAGUGUCAGCAAACUAAUCUGAAAUAAGAUAGGAAUCUGUGGAUUUACACAGCAUGAGGAAAGGUUUACUGCUACUAUCCAGGGGAACAGGUACAGAACUUUGACUCAGGAUGUUCUUGGCUCUCAUGACGUUGUGUAAGUCCCUUCAUCUCUCCAUAUUUUAGUUUCCCCAUGUAUAAAAUGGGGAUGAUAUUUAUUCUGCUUUGUGUUUUUAAAAAAAAAAAAUCAUGUGAAAAAGCGUAUUAUUCUGGCAGUAGUCAUAGUUACUGAUCUCACUUUUGUAUAGAACUAUGUCACACAGCUCUGCAAGACCAAAAAAACAUUGUUUUAUAUGUCAUGUACACACUGUGGAAUGUUUAAGUUCAGUGUCCAUAAAGAAAGGAAUUAAUUACUACAACAUAAAAUUGAAAUGAAAUGAUUAUUUUAAUUGAAUGCAAAAAGGUGCAGAUAUGGGAAGCCAGUUCAGAUAAUUUUAUUAAAUUCAGAGUAUCAAAUGUAGAAGAUAUUGAGGCUACUCUCUGCACACAUCGAAAGAAUACAUAACCAUACAUAGUCUUUCUGACAGCUGACUGCACUCACACCCUCCUCCUUUGUGGGUUCUUGUCUUUAUUUGCUUUAAUCAUACAUCAGCAGGCAGUUGUGCCUUUGUUCUGAUGGAUCCUCCAAGUUAAACUCCCUUUCCAUUGAAGUUUCACAGCCCUCUCCCAAAAAUGAGAUUUUUGUUCUUCUAACCAGAUGCAUUUUAAAAAAGCCACUCUUGGAUUCCAUGCUUGUUACCUUUCCUUCCCAUUCCUUCUCCCUGUUUGUAUCCGACCUCCUUGUUUGCCCUAAUCUUUCCAGUUUGUGUCUUUUAGUGUAGCUCAUGAUUAGCCCCGCAAGAGCAGAGCAUAGUGGGAGGGACUUGUUUUAUAAAUAACAAAAGGGUGGAUUUAGUUCUUAUUAAAAUCAAUGGAAUGGCGCUCAUUGAAUUCAAUGUUGGUUUUGACCCUAAAUUCACAACUACUGAAACCAGAGCAAGAAGCAGCAUAUUGCCUGUAAUCCUGUUUUCAGUGUUUGUCAUAGCACUGGGACAAAUUCAUACUUGGUGAAUUCUUACAAUCAGUGUUGUAUUUAGCCCAUUGAACUUUAACAAACAGAAUCUCAAACUAAGUUCUGUAGGGAAGAAAUGCCUGCUGUCUCUAUGGUUAGAGACGAGUGAGUGGACCUGGUGGAGGAGAGAGGAGUAAGCAGGGUGCCAGACAGGUAUAGAGAAGAGAAACAAGCUGACUGUUUGAUACUCCUUAGCCAAUACCAAAGAGAAUGGGGCGCUCUGGUGGCUUUGGCUGUUUCUCAGAUAACACAGAAGUGCAGCUGUUGCUUCACAAACUGUCUGAAAAGCCUCCUGCCACUCAUAGCUGAGGAUGGUGUUAAUCCAGGAUUUGGCAGGGCCAGUGUGCAGUACAAAAAACCAAAGACGCUCCCUGCCUCUAUUAGAUUAGUCAGAGAUCCCUAUCCUGCAAAUACACACCUAUUUAAAUAUAAUCAUUAUGGAACUAGUCAUGUAAUUACACAGCUGAACAAGUAAUACUGUAUCAGGGGAUCUUUUAAGGACCGCAUGCAAAUCCAAAGUGUUAAUGGACUUCCAUGGCAGCGAAAUUUGGAGGCAGUAAGCAUCCAUCACCUGAUUCUGUGUCUGCAUCAUGCAAAUGAGCCAGCCUUUCAUGAAGGUUGAAACUAUCCUUCUUCAAAACCAUAGGAGGAAAGGAAGAUACAACAGAUUCAACUGGUAGGUGAAAGCCUCAAGGACGGGGGGAAACAGGCCACUGUCUUCACCUGUUCUGCAGUGUCAGCAGGAACAGCUGUGGUAAACAUGGAGCAAUGCCAGGUUUAUGUGACUUUUAUGGAAUGAUUCUGGGAAAAGAUUAUCCUCCAUCUUCAUGGCAGUUAUGUAAAGACAGGUCUAGUUUCCUGAACAGCUGAGUAGAGCAUAUGUACGAUUAAUAUAAAGGGCAGUUUGCAAAGGAGUGAUGUGUUUUAUUUGUUUUUGCACUGUUGAGAUCUAGACACAUAAUAUUUAACAGAAAUCCGUUCUGGAGAAGAUUUAUAAGCAGUUGUGAUUAUCUGUGGAUCCAUAAAUUUCCCCAAUCUGAAACGGAUACCAUACAUUUGGUAGCAGGUCGGCAGUCCAUUUAGUGUUGCCAAUGUUAAAAGUGAUCAAAUCUGGCCCUCGGAAAUUCACAGUUGUUCUAGUAGAGAAAGUAAAUUCUCAAUGUUAGACUAUAUUUCAGAAAGCUCUAAAUACACAAUGUGGGGGAGAAGGGUUGCUGUAUAUUUGUAAAAUUGCAGAGGUUGUGUACACACUAAAAGUUUUAAGUAGUGCUUGUACAACUGUUCAUUACUUAAGAAAUACAAAUGCACUGAAAAUUGUAAUAUGUAAUAAAAUAAGUAAAAUUGUAAUAAAAUUGUGUAUUAAGAUUCA